CCUACGGGUGGCAGCAGUGAGGAAUAUUGGUCAAUGGGCGGAAGCCUGAACCAGCCAAGUCGCGUGAGGGAAUAAGGCCCUACGGGUCGUAAACCUCUUUUGCCGGGGAGCAAGGGCGGGGACGUGUCCCGUCCCGGAGAGUACCCGGAGAAAAAGCCUCGGCUAACUCCGUGCCAGCAGCCGCGGUAAUACGGAGGAUGCGAGCGUUAUCCGGAUUUAUUGGGUUUAAAGGGUGCGUAGGUGGUUUCUUAAGUCAGAGGUGAAAGGCUACGGCUCAACCGUAGUAAGCCUUUGAAACUGGGGAACUUGAGUGCAGGAGAGGAGAGUGGAAUUCCUAGUGUAGCGGUGAAAUGCGUAGAUAUUAGGAGGAACACCAGUUGCGAAGGCGGCUCUCUGGACUGUAACUGACACUGAGGCACGAAAGCGUGGGGAGCAAACAGGAUUAGAUACCCGAGUAGUC
rnacentral:rRNA from 1 species